UACGGAAGGGGGCUAGCGUUGCUCGGAAUCACUGGGCGUAAAGGGCGCGUAGGCGGCUAUUCAAGUCAGGGGUGAAAGCCUGAGGCUCAACCUCAGAAUUGCCUUUGAUACUGUUUAGCUAGAGACCGGAAGAGGUUAGUGGAACUGCGAGUGUAGAGGUGAAAUUCGUAGAUAUUCGCAAGAACACCAGUGGCGAAGGCGGCUCACUGGCCCGAUACUGACGCUGAGGUGCGAAAGCGUGGGGAGCAAACAGG
rnacentral:rRNA from 1 species